GUUUUCCCCAUACCAUCACCCAAAAACACCAAAUUCCUCUUCUCCAAUGGCACCCGAACUAUCUCAUUAUACAAUCCAGCUUUGAUCCAUAUCACGAACCGCUUAACUACUCCAUUUUCGGGGGCCGAAUUCACUGCCUGCUGCACCGUCUCAUAAUCACAACCACCAGCGGCCGCCUUGCACACUGUCACAUCUGGUUUCAGUCCUCUAGGUACACCAUCGUUGAAUUCCUUCACAGUAAACCCACCACCAGCACCUAAUUCCCAG
rnacentral:misc_RNA from 1 species